rnacentral:rRNA from 1 species
GACGAACGCUGGCGGUGUGCUUCACACAUGCAAGUCGAACGAGGUAGCAAUACCUAGUGGCGGACGGGUGAGUAACGCGUGGGAAUCUGCCUUUAGAUGGGGGAUAACGGGUCGAAAGACUCGCUAAUACCGCAUAUGACGAAAGUUGAAAGGAGUAAUCCGUCUAAAGAUGAGCCCGCGUCCGAUUAGCUAGUUGGUAGAGUAAAAGCCUACCAAGGCGACGAUCGGUAGCUGGUCUGAGAGGAUGAUCAGCCACAAUGGGAACUAGAGACACGGCCCAUACUCCUACGGAGGCAGCAGUGGGAAUUUACGCAAUGGGCGAAAGCCUGACGUAGCGACACCGCGUGAGCGAAGAAG